rnacentral:rRNA from 1 species
GGAAUAUUGGUCAAUGGACGCAAGUCUGAACCAGCCAUGCCGCGUGCAGGAUGAAUGCCCUAUGGGUUGUAAACUGCUUUUAUUUGGGAAUAAACCUCUUUACGUGUAGAGCGCGGAAGGUACCAAAGGCAUAAGCACCGGCCAACUCCGUGCCAGCAGCCGCGGUAAUACGGAGGGUGCAAGCGUUAUCCGGAAUCAUUGGGUUUAAAGGGUCCGCAGGCGGAAGAAUAAGUCAGUGGUGAAAUCUUACAGCUUAACUGUGAAACUGCCAUUGAUACUGUUUUUCUUGAAUUUGGUCGAAGUGGGCGGAAUAUGACAUGUAGCGGUGAAAUGCAUAGAUAUGUCAUAGAACACCGAUAGCGAAGGCAGCUCACUAGGCCUGAAUUGACGCUCAUGGACGAAAGCGUGGGUAGCGAA